rnacentral:rRNA from 1 species
GCAACUCGCCUACAUGAAGUUGGAAUCGCUAGUAAUCGCGAAUCAGAAUGUCGCGGUGAAUACGUUCCCGGGUCUUGUACACACCGCCCGUCACACCACGAGAGUUUACAACACCCGAAGUCAGUGGCCUAACCGCAAGGAGGGAGCUGCCUAAGGUGGGGUAGAUGAUUGGGGUGAAGUCGUAACAAGGUAGC